GACGAACGCUGGCGGCGUGCUUAACACAUGCAAGUCGAACGGAAAGGCCCUGCUUUUGUGGGGUGCUCGAGUGGCGAACGGGUGAGUAACACGUGAGUAACCUGCCCUUGACUUUGGGAUAACUUCAGGAAACUGGGGCUAAUGCCGUAUAGGAGCUCCUGCUGCAUGGUGGGGGUUGGAAAGUUUCGGCGGUUGGGGAUGGACUCGCGGCUUAUCAGCUUGUUGGUGGGGUAGUGGCUUACCAAGGCUUUGACGGGUAGCCGGCCUGAGAGGGUGACCGGCCACAUUGGGACUGAGAUACGGACCAGACUCCUACGGGAGGCAGCAGUGGGGAAUAUUGCACAAUGGGCGGAAGCCUGAUGCAGCAACGCCGCGUGCGGGAUGACGGCCUUCGGGUUGUAAACCGCUUUCGCCUGUGACGAAGCGUGAGUGACGGUAAUGGGUAAAGAAGCACCGGCUAACUACGUG
rnacentral:rRNA from 1 species